CUCUAUUUGACUCACGUGACACGGAAGUAGCCCGCUAGUAGUACGCAUUGCCAUACGGCUUUUGCGCGAUUGUGUAGUGUGGCAUUCGGUCCGCCGGAGAGGCGGACUGGUCUCGGCUGCGCCGGCUGGUGGGAGAGCGAACCGAGUUUGUAAUGGCGCUAAUCGCAUUCGUCUUGAACAUUCCGAUUCCGUCAACUUGUUUUUCUCCUCGAGGCUUAAUGAACAGUCAGUUUUAUCAAUGAAGAGGAAGAGGACCCUAAAAGAUCUUUUUUUUUGUUCUUUUCAGAAAUAUCCUGAAUUUGUUGUGGCCUGAAAUGGGGGUUUGUUGCCUGACAGUGAAUGCGCUGGUGGAGGAGGGGUCCAUGUCAGUGACGGCGUAGUCAACAGCACUCGUCCCGAGAGCUGAGCAGAUGCCUGCCUCCGUCAAGGAGGAAUCUUUGAAGCAUCACAUGAACACACACAUCUUCACACAGCAUCUGAAGUCAGAGGAACUCAUGAAUUCAUUUUGAAAAAGACUUAUUCCCACCCCCUAGCACACCUUAAGAACAUGAUUAUUUGAUUCAUAUGUUGUGUUUUAUAUGGGCGGUAGCUGUUUGACUAUGACUCAGUUUGUGGAUUAUUAAUAUUAUGUAUUUGAUUUAUUUUGUAUUUUGUAUUAUUUGUAUAUGUACCUAUUAAGUUUUGCAUAUGUGAAUUUUAUGUUAGUACUUUAAUUAUGUUGCGCACUCUCACUUGCUGGUCUGUCUAUUGGACUAUUAUCAUUCAUAAUCCGGACGUUAGUCUGUCAGUUAAACAUCCUUUUUGGUCAGGAUAUGAUUUUUGUGGUAUACUCUCAUUUUGGAAUCACGGCAGUGCUGUCCAUGAGAACUACGACCACUUGUGAGAAUUAUUAAGGCUUGCUAAUACUUUGUAAUAUUAUUUUUGAGCACAACCCUGCAGGAAUUACUGUAUAUUGUUGCAAUAUACACCCCCGACUUUUCUUCACAUUUCUCAAAAUGUAUUCUAUUAUUAUUGUCCACCAGGUGUCUUCAUAUUUGGAUGAGCAGGUACUCACUACACUACAAGGUACUAAAACAUACUAGACGACAUGAGUGGAAUUUAAAAUGCAAAGCGUUAAAUACAAAUGUAAUUAUAUGUGGUAGUUUUGUAAGUGAGUAACACUGAAACGGUUUGAAAUUGAUUUCAUGUCAUUUAUUUUGUUCGUAUUUUUUUAGUCCCCACAUUACUAAAGAUAAUGCUCAUCCUCCAGCAACUAAACUGCAACUAAAACUGGACAACAUAUGUAUGUGGGCUUUAAUACAGCAGCUAUGGCGGCACCAUGCAUUAUGUGUCCAUACUGAAUUGUACUCUGUACUGAUUUUACUCCUUUAUACAUAUUCUAACUUUAAAGCUAUUCCUUGUCCUUGUAAUGUGAAUCUUUCCAUGGUUGUCAAACGUAUGUGGAUUUUAAUGCUGCACAUUAAUUGCCUUCUGGGGACAAUAAAGAUCUAAUGAAAGUAAAA